rnacentral:lncRNA from 1 species
GACGGUCCCUGCCGGCGAGGAGAUCAUGCGGGAUGAGAUGGGGGUGUGGAGACGCCUGCACAAUUUCAGCCCAAGCUUCUAGAGAGUGGUGAUGACUUGCAUAUGAGGGCAGCAAUGCAAGUCGGUGUGCUCCCCAUUCUGUGGGACAUGACCUGGUUGCUUCACAGCUCCGAGAUGACACAGACUUGCUUAAAGGAAGUGACUAUUGUGACUUGGGCAUCACUUGACUGAUGAAAGUGUAUUGGGAAACCUCUCAUGAACCCUGUGAGCAAGCCACCGUCUCACUCAAUUUGAAUCUUGGCUUCCCUCAAAAGACUGGCUAAUGUUUGGUAACUCUCUGGAGUAGACAGCACUACAUGUACGUAAGAUAGGUACAUAAACAACUAUUGGUUUUGAGCUGAUUUUUUUCAGCUGCAUUUGCAUGUAUGGAUUUUUCUCACCAAAG